rnacentral:rRNA from 1 species
AACGGCCAUACCAUGCUGAAUAUACCGGUUCUCGUUAGAUCACUGAAGUCAAGCAUCAUUGGGCGCGGUCAGUACUUGGGUGGGUGACCACCUGGGAACACUGCGUGCCGUU